rnacentral:rRNA from 1 species
AUUGAACGCUGGCGGCGUGCCUAACACAUGCAAGUCGAGCGGUAACAGGUGUAGCAAUACAUGCUGACGAGCGGCGAACGGGUGAGUAAUGCUUAGGAAUCUACCUUAUGGUGGGGAAUAACUAGCCGAAAGGUUAGCUAAUACCGCAUACGUCCUACGGGAGAAAGCAGGGGAUCGCAAGACCUUGCGCCAAAAGCUGAGCCGAAGUCGGGACAGACAGUUGGCAGGGUAACGGCCUACCAAGGCGGGGAUCCGUAGCUGGUCUGAGAGGACGACCAGCCACACUGGGACUGAGACACGGCCCAGACUCCUCCGGGAGGCAGCAGUGUGGAAUAUUGGACAAUGGGGGAAACACUGAUCCAGCGACGCCGCGUGUGUGAAGAAGGCCUGCGGGUUGUAAAGCACUUUUAGUGGGGAUGAAAUGUGCAGGGUUAAUACCUCUGCAUUUUGACCUAACCCACAGAAAAAGCACCGGCUAACUCUGUGCCAGCAGCCGCGGUAA